rnacentral:rRNA from 1 species
GAUGAACGCUGGCGGCGUGCCUAAUACAUGCAAGUCGAGCGAAGCGGGGACGGGUGCGUAACACGUGGAUAACCUCCUCUAAGCCUGGGAUCACUUCGGGAAACCGGAGCUAAACCGGCUCUUUAUGGAUGGCUCUACGCUGCAUUAGCUAGUUGGUAAGGUAACGGCUUACCAAGGCAACGAUGCAUAGCCGAUCUGAGAGGGCGAUCGGCCACACUGGAACUGAGACACGGUCCAGACUCCGACGGGCGGCAGCAGUAGGGAAUCUUCCGCAAUGGGCGCAAGCCUGACGGAGCAACGCCGCGUGGGUGAUGAAGGUCUUCGGAUCGUAAAACUCUGUUAUUAGGGAAGCGGUACCUAAUCAGAAAGCCACGGCUAACUACGUGCCAGCCGCCGCGGUAAUUC